rnacentral:rRNA from 1 species
UACGUAGGGGGCUAGCGUUGUCCGGAAUCAUUGGGCGUAAAGAGCGUGUAGGCGGCCCGGUAAGUCCGCUGUGAAAGUCGGGGGCUCAACCCUCGAAUGCCGGUGGAUACUGUCGGGCUAGAGUGCGGAAGAGGCGAGUGGAAUUCCUGGUGUAGCGGUGAAAUGCGCAGAUAUCAGGAGGAACACCAAUUGCGAAGGCAGCUCGCUGGGACGGUAUUGACGCUAAGGCGCGAAAGCGUGGGGAGCAAACAGG